rnacentral:rRNA from 1 species
AUGAAUGAGGCUCUUUUGGCACCAUACACAGAAGAGGAGGUUAGAAGAGUGCUGUUUAGCAUCGGAGACUUGAAAGCACCUGGCCCAGAUGGCCUGCGUGCCAUAUUUUAUAAAAAAUUCUGGCACUUACUUGGUGAUGAUCUAGUGAAAGAGGUUCUUGAGGCAGUAAACAGCAGAGUUAUUCCGGAAGGUUGGAACACAACUACCAUAGUUCUUAUUCCUAAAACUGAAACACCAGAGAAGGUAGCUCAUUUUAGGCCCAUUAGCCUCUAUAAUGUGGUCUAUAAAGUGAUAGCUAGAAUGCUAGCAGCAAGACUUAAAGUGUUCCUGCCUGAGAUUAGUAGUGAAACACAAAGUGCGUUUGUUCCGGGCCGUAUAAUAACUGACAAUGUAAUUGUAGCCUACGAGUGUUUGCAUGCAAUGAAGAAAAAGAAGAAGGGUAAAACCGGCUCUUGUGCUGUUAAACUUGACAUGCACAAAGCUUACGAUCGCAUUGAGUGGGUAUUCUUGGAAGCCAUCCUGAAGAAGCUUGGGUUUGACAUCCGAUGGGUUCAAUUAAUUAUGGCAUGCGUAACUUCAGUCCAAUAUAAAGUAAGAUUCAAUUCAAGCGAGACUGAACCGUUCUCCCCUUCAAGGGGUCUAAGGCAAGGGGACCCCUUGUCCCCUUACCUGUUCUUAUUGUGUGCUGAAGGUUUAUCUGCUUUAAUUGCUCAUGAGGAGGAAGUUGGAAAUCUUAAAGGAAUCCAGAUCUGUCGUGUCUCUCCUUUUAUAUCCCACUUACUUUUUGAUGAUGAUUCGCUGAUUCUAAUGAAAGCAGAUAAUGCGAAUGCUACUGCCCUGAAAAGAGUUAUAGAUGAGUAUUGUGCUGCUUCAGGACAGUUGGUUAAGGCAGCAAAAUCUUCUAUAUAUUUCAGUCCUAGUACUAAAGUAGAUGACAAAGUGGAUGUUUUCCAAAUAUUGGAUAUUAUGACUGAAUCUUUGUCUGAUAAAUAUCUGGGGCUGCCAUCUAUGAUUGGUGUUGACAGGGUGGAUUGUUUUAAGCACCUCAUCGAAAGAAUUCAGAAGAUCAUAAAUGGAUGGAAAGAAAGAACGGUGUCCUAUGGUGGGAAAGAGGCAUUGAUAAAGGCAGUGGCUCAAGCCAUCCCAACCUAUGCGAUGGGGAUAUUCAAAUUCCCAAAGAAAAUUUGCAAGGGGAUCACUGAUGCUAUUUCGCAUUAUUGGUGGGGAGAUGGUGAGAACCAACGGAAAAUGCAUUGGUUUACAUGGUGGAAGAUGUGUAUUCCAAAGGAGAGAGGAGGAAUGGGUUUCAGAGACAUUCAAAGCUUCAACUUGGCUAUGCUAGCUAAACAAUGUUGGCAGCUUAUUGAUAAUUAUGAUUCGCUUUGUGCUAAAAUCUUGAGAUCAAAAUAUUAUCCAUCAGGUGAUUUGUUGAAUUGCGAGCUGAAAAAGGGCUCAUCUUAUGUUUGGCAAAGUAUUUGGGCAGGGAUCCAAACUUUCAAGAAGGGCUGCAUAUGGAGAGUUGGAGAUGGAUCAAAAAUUAAUAUUUGGGAAGAUUGUUGGAUACCAAAUAGCUCAUCCAGGAAGAUAGUUACUGUGCGUGGUAAUCGUGUGUUGUCGAAGGUGAAUGAACUCAUUGAUCCUACUACAGGAGAGUGGGAUGAAACACUUAUCAGAGACAAUUUUUGGCACAUCAACGCUGAUAGGAUCUUGCAAAUUCCCUUAUAUCAGUAG